rnacentral:rRNA from 1 species
CAGCAGUGAGGAAUAUUGGUCAAUGGACGAGAGUCUGAACCAGCCAAGUAGCGUGAAGGAUGAAGGUCCUACGGAUUGUAAACUUCUUUUAUAAGGGAAUAAACCCUCCCACGUGUGGGAGCUUGUAUGUACCUUAUGAAUAAGCAUCGGCUAACUCCGUGCCAGCAGCCGCGGUAAUACGGAGGAUGCGAGCGUUAUCCGGAUUUAUUGGGUUUAAAGGGAGCGCAGACGGGUCGUUAAGUCAGCUGUGAAAGUUUGGGGCUCAACCUUAAAAUUGCAGUUGAUACUGGCGUCCUUGAGUGCGGUUGAGGUGUGCGGAAUUCGUGGUGUAGCGGUGAAAUGCUUAGAUAUCACGAAGAACUCCGAUUGCGAAGGCAGCACACUAAUCCGUAACUGACGUUCAUGCUCGAAAGUGUGGGUAUCAAACAGGAUUAGAUACCCUGGUAGUCCACACGGUAAACGAUGGAUACUCGCUGUUGGCGAUAUACUGUCAGCGGCUUAGCGAAAGCGUUAAGUAUCCCACCUGGGGAGUACGCCGGCAACGGUGCAACUCAAAGGAAU